AUGGACAUCGACCCUUCCUCGGUCUCCCACGCCGACGGCGGGGGCGACCUGUGGCCGUUCGACUCGCUCACCACGUCCCUCUUCUUCUCCUCCGUCUCCUCCUCCCCGCCGCUCCACCCGCUGCCCGUCGCUUCCUCCUCGUGGCUCACGCCGCCGUCUCCGCUCUGGCUCUUCGAGGACCGCCAGAUGAUGCCGAUCGAGGUGGGCCCUGCGCCCGCCGCGGCGCCGGACAAUACUGCCGCCGUCGCAGAGGAGGCCCAGCGAGCACGCUCCGGGAAUUCGGACACGCCAAUUAAGAAGACCGAACGUCUCAACAACAAAUGGCAAUUUAACCUAGCUCUGCAUGACGAUAGCACGAACAGCUCAUGCUUGUUCAAGGAGAAGCUGACUCAUGCUCUCAGGUACUUCAAGGAGUCAACAGAUCAACACCUGUUGGUCCAGGUUUGGGCGCCGGUUAAGAGUGGCGAUCGCUAUGUGCUUACUACAUCAGGACAACCCUUUGUACUUGACCACCAGAGCAUUGGGCUGCUUCAGUACAGGGCUGUAUCCAUGAUGUACAUGUUCUCAGUAGAUGGAGAUAAUGCUGGGGAGCUUGGGUUACCUGGACGUGUCUACAAGCAAAAAGUGCCUGAGUGGACACCAAAUGUGCAGUAUUAUAGCAGCACUGAGUACCCACGGCUUAACCAUGCCAUCAGUUACAAUGUUCAUGGUACCGUUGCCUUGCCUGUUUUUGAUCCCUCUGUUCAAUCAUGUAUUGCUGUCGUCGAACUUAUAAUGACAUCGAAGAAGAUAAACUAUGCCGAUGAGGUUGAUAAAGUCUGCAAAGCUCUUGAGGCAGUAAAUCUUAAAAGCACUGAGAUAUUGGAGCAUCCAAAUGUCCAGAUUUGCAAUGAAGGCCGUCAAUCUGCCCUGGUGGAGAUACUGGAGAUCCUGACAGUUGUAUGUGAAGAGCACAAGCUUCCAUUAGCACAAACAUGGGUUCCUUGCAAAUAUCGAAGUGUGUUGGCGCAUGGUGGUGGUGUUAAGAAAAGUUGCUUGAGCUUUGAUGGAAGUUGCAUGGGGGAAGUCUGCAUGUCAACCAGUGAUGUGGCAUUUCAUGUGAUUGAUGCUCAUAUGUGGGGAUUCCGAGAUGCCUGUGUAGAACACCAUCUACAGAAGGGACAGGGAGUUUCUGGCAAGGCGUUUAUCUAUCACAGACCUUGCUUUUCAAAAGAUAUCAGUCAGUUUUGUAAGCUGGAGUACCCCCUUGUGCACUAUGCUCGUAUGUUUGGAUUGGCUGGCUGCUUUGCUAUAUGUUUACAAAGUCCUUAUACUGGUGAUGAUUAUUAUAUGCUAGAGUUUUUCCUGCCACCCAGUUGUAAAGAGGAAGAUGAUCAAAAUGCCUUGUUGGAGUCUAUAUUAGGUCUGAUCAAUCAGUGUCUCCGUAAUCUGAAGGUAGCUGGUAAUGGAGAAUCCAACAAAGCUUCUCUUCAACUUAGUAAUGUCAUAAUGAUUGAAAGUGAAGAUUUCAAGACAAAUGUGCAUUUUGAGAACUCUGAAGGUUUUCGUGAAUCGCCCGAAGGUGAAACACAUGGAGGAGCCCACGAGUUCGAUAAAGCGAAUAGUAAAGUAUCAGAGGGACAUUUGUUGGCUGAUGAUAACUCUCAUAACAAUGGCGUAUCUGUCUCCAGGCCAAAUGGUAGCGCGGCUUCUGAUUCUUCAUUGCUUCACAAAAAUGGCAAACCCCCUGAAAGGAGACGGGGGAAAGCUGAAAAAACAAUCAGCUUAGAAGUUCUUCAGCAAUAUUUUUCUGGAAGUCUGAAAAAUGCAGCAAAAAGCCUUGGUGUGUGCCCCACAACCAUGAAGCGCAUCUGCAGGCAACAUGGGAUUUCUCGUUGGCCAUCCCGAAAAAUUAACAAGGUCAACCGGUCUCUCUCGAAGUUAAAGCAAGUAAUUGAGUCUGUUCAAGGCUCAGACGCGGCAUUUAACCUGACAUCUAUCACAGGCCCUCUCCCUACUAUUCCUGUUGGCCCUUCAUCAGAUUCUUUCAAUAAAGAGAAAGCAAGUGAAAGUAAAGCAGAACAUUCAAAUCGUGCUGUUGAUGGUGACAGAGAUUCAUCUUUACAGAAGUCACAGGAAACUGGUAGCCACUUUGGUGCACUCAUGUCCCAGCAAGGAUUUGCAGACACUGGGAACAAUGUUCAACUUGAAGCAGACAAAGCUUCUCUCUCGAGAAGCUCAUCGGGAGAAGGCAGCAUAAAUUCACGUACUUCGGAGGGCUCAUGUCAGGGAAGUCCCGCAAACCAGACGUUUGUUUGCCAGCCUAUUGCUUCAAUGUUCUUGGAACCACAAGAACCACAACUGAAUCCGGAAGGGUUCACAAAAGAACCUUUCCAAGAACCAGAGCUACCACUUUCCAGGAUGCUCAUAGAGGAUUCUGGUAGUUCCAAGGAUUUGAAGAAUCUCUUUGGUUCAGCAAUUGGCCAACCAAUGUUAGCCCCUCCCAGCAAUUUUGGGCCAAUGCGAAAUUCGGGGACUGUGACGAUAAAGGCGAGCUUUAAGGAAGACAUUGUAAGGUUCCGUUUCCCGUGUUCUAGCAGCGUUAUGGCUUUGAAAGAUGAGGUUGCCAAAAGGCUGAGGAUGGAUGCUGGCAUGUUUGAUAUCAAGUACCUUGACGAUGAUCACGAGUGGGUGAAGUUGGCGUGCAAUGCGGACUUGGAAGAAUGCAUAGAAAUCUCCCGGCAUUCUGGUACCCAUGUCAUCAGGCUGUUGGUUAGCGACGUUGCGGCCCACAUUGGUAGUUCUUGUGGAAGCUCCGGUUGA
rnacentral:rRNA from 1 species